rnacentral:rRNA from 1 species
GAUUAGAUACCCCACUAUGCUCAGUCGUAAACCCUGAUGUAAAACCCUUCACAUCCGCCAGAGAACUACGAGCAAAAGCUUGAAACUCAAAAGACUUGACGGUGUCUCACACCGACCUAGAGGAGCCUGUCCUAUAAUCGAUAACCCACGUUAAACCUCACCCACCCUUGCCCCUCAGCCUGUAUACCUCCGUCACCAGCCCGCCUGACAACAGACAACAAAGCGGGCAAAAAUGCUCAACGCAAAUACGUCAGGUCAAGGUGUAGCUUAUGGGUUGGAAAGAGAUGGGCUACAUUUUCUAAUUUAGAAAAAACCCGCUUUCAAAAUGAAAAUUACACAGUAAGGUGGAUUUAGCAGUAAGGUGGGCAAGAUGAGCCCACCUGAAGCCCGCCCUGAGAU